rnacentral:misc_RNA from 1 species
GAAAUGCGAUAAUUAAUGUGAAUUGCAGAAUUCAGUGAAUCAUCGAGUCUUUGAACGCACAUUGCGCCCCCUGGUAUUCCGGGGGGCAUGCCUGUCCGAGCGUCAUUGCUGCCCUCAAGCACGGCUUGUGUGUUGGGCUUCCGUCCCUGGCAACGGGGACGGGCCCAAAAGGCAGUGGCGGCGACGCGGUUAUCCGAUCAGCCAGAGCGUAUGGGGACUUUCCGUCACACGCCCGCGGCGCGGACCGACGUCUGCCAAUCGAUUUUUAUCAAAUUUUUUUCUCGGUUGACCUCGGAUCAGGUAGGGAUACCCGCUGAACUUAAGC